CUGCCUGAUCUUUGACAAAGUCCCUGGGUGUUGCCUCUUGGAUCUCCUUGUGGAGAGUUUCAUUGCUUCCACCGUAGCCUGUUCUACCUGGUUUCUCAGCUCCACCCGUCCACUGCUCUACAGUGCUGUGUUUGACGACCUCAUCCUGAGCAGCAACCAGUGUCUGAACAUUUUAUUAAACUUGUUCUUUCCUUUUCUAACUCCUGUGUGUGGUUGA